GACGAACGCUGGCGGCGCGCUUAACACAUGCAAGUCGAGCGAAGCGGCGGACGGGUGAGUAACACGUGAGUAACCUGCCUUAGACAGUGGGAUAGCCUCGGGAAACCGGGAUUAAUACCACAUGGUCUAAGAUGGACUCGCGUCCCCGGAGCUAGUUGGUAGGUAACGGCCCACCAAGGCGAUGCUGGGUAGACGGUCUUAGAGGGGGAACGGCCACAUUGGAACUGAGAAACGGUCCAAACUCUACGGGAGGGAGCAGUGGGGAAUAUUGCACAAUGGAGGGAACUCUGAUGCAGCGACGCCGCGUGAACGAAGAAGGCUUUCGAGUCGUAAAGUUCUUUUAUAUGGGAAGCGGUACCAUAAGAAAAAGCCCCGGCUAACUACGUGCCAGCAGCCGCGGUAAUUC
rnacentral:rRNA from 1 species